UAAAUAAUAACAAUGUAUACAACAACUUAUUAAUAUUGUAUUGUCAACAUAUUUUAAAAAUACAAGUGUAUGCAAUUACCAAAUAUGUUUUAAAUUAUUAUAUUUAUGUUAAUGUCUUAUUUACAUAACACAAUAGUAUUAUUAUGGUUAUUAAAUAAAUAUUUAUACUAAAUUAUAAAAUAUUAAAAUUAUAUAUAUUAUUUUAAAAUUUUACAAUACUUUGAACCGUUUUGUCUACUUUUACUAUUCAAACAUAUAUUUUGAACGGUUUGAUCCACUCUCGAUCCACUCUCGACUCACUUGAUAUGAUUGAUUUGCAAUGCUUGAUCUAUUUUCCCUUUCAGAGCCUAAAUUUUUUUUUUCUCGACUACAUUCAUUAAUAUAAAAAUUUCUGUUAAUGAGAACAUAUAUCAAUGAAUUUUCUUAUAAAACAUGUAUUGAUGGGUCAAACCUAACCGGCUAACCCAAUUCAAUCAAAAAUUAUGACUCAUAAUGGUAAUUAAUAGAGUAAACGAGUGAAAAGAAGGUUGAAAUCGGUGGAAAGAGAAAAGUUGAAAUAAAAGUAAAAUUUUACUUUUAACAUAAAUAGAAUAAUAUAUUGAUAAAAAAAGGUAAAAUGUAUUUUUUCCUUGACUAGACAAAAAUAAAAUAAAUGGGCAGAAGUUUUUUUUACUUCAUUAUUUUUGCGUCAAUGAUACUAUACAGUCACACCCUAUGUUUUAAGACAUUACUGGCAUAUCAAAUGCGAGAUGAGUUAGCCUAAAAUAUAUUUAACUAGCAAAAUUGUAAUAUUUAUUUAAUUUAAAUCAUUUGUCUUUUUAUUAGUUAUCGAAUGUUACAUUUGAAAAUGUUCAGAUUUUUCUUUUGUAACUCAGUUUACUGAACUCUCAUCAACAUUUAACAAUGUCCAAUGAAUUGAACAACUAAAAUAUAUAUUUGCUCUGGUUUCGCAUAUAUUUUCAUAUGUUUUACUUAUUUUUUAAUGUUUUUAUUUAAAUUUUUAAAAUAAUCAAUACAUAAAGUUACCAAAAUCAAAAUUGGCUCAAGUUAAAAGUCUAAAAAAUUUCAUAUUUAACUAAACUUUUUUGCACUAGAUGAAAUUUUUAUCUUUAGUUUUAGGAAAAAUAUAUACUAAACAUUUUACAUUUAUUUUAUUAUUUUAUUUAAUUCACUCAAGAGUAUAUCAAUUUAUCAGAAAUAUAUGUAUACAAAUUACUAACCAUAAAUUGAUGAUGCUAUGUAGGUUUACCCGGACAAAUAUGGUGAUCACCAACCAAGAUUGUUAACUUAUUUGACGGUGUUGUUUUAUGCUCCCUAUUGAUUAUGAUUUUAUAACACCAGCUAUACGAAAACAGUUAAUAUGAAGACUAAUAUAUGUACCAUUAUGGUUAUUAUGAACUAGUGCAGUGUUAUUUUGACUGCAAUAGUACUAUAAUGUUUUAAUGAUAUGCCACAUCAAGAUAUAUAUAAAAACUUCAAUAAGGCUUAGAUUUAUACUAUAAAUCUAUGACUGAGUAAAGAAAUGUAUGGUAUAUAUAUUACACAUGCAAGUUAGGUGAAAAUCUAUAAACAUUCAGUUUUAACA